rnacentral:rRNA from 1 species
CAUGCCUAUCGCAUAGCAUUAAUGCAUCGGAUCCCAUUAGAACUCCGCAGGUAAGCGUACUCAAGCUAGAGUGGCACUGGGAUGGGUGACCGCCCAAGAAGUCCUAGUGGUUUACAUGC